UGGGGAUGGCUACCCGUAUCCUUCCUAGCUCCAGGCUGACAGUGUUGCCAGUCAAAUCAGAGCACAGCUUCCUGCAAUGUUUAUGCUAGCAUAUGUCCUAGACUUUGCAGGGAGAUAAAGGAGCGCAUGGCCUUCCCUUCUGUGCUCUUAAACGCUCUGUCCCAAGAGGGUCAGUCCUCCACAAUGACACAACCAGUUUAUGCUCAGAUGUGUUCUUCUCCACCCCAUUUCUUCUCCCUGGAUGUUACAUAAAAGAUGUGUUUUCCGACAGCCUUUGGAAAUGUAAUGUCAUCCAAGCUUGUUCUUCAACCGGGAGCCCUUGCUCUCAGGCAUGUUCCUGGUGUCAUUUAACAGCAGGGAGUGGAGCUUCCUCCUCUCCAAGUGUGCAGUGUUCUGUUGGGCUGGCCUGUGGUCUGCCAGGGUAACAGCUACUUCUUCAUUCUGGAGACAGGACUUUGCUUUCUGCUGUGCUCAUGGUGAAGUGAAUCCCACAGCAGAUCUUGGCGGGGGGGGGUGGGGCGGGGGGAGCUGCUGGGGCUGUCUGAGCUGGUGCAGUGGGAGCCAAGGUUGAGGUGGGGGCAACCUCAGUGUGCUGGGGAGCUGCUAAACCUGCAGCUGCCUCUUGCUUGGCAGGGAGCAGUGCUCCCAGCUGCCCCAGCAGCAAACCCUGUAAGCUUUCAGUGGUGAGGUAUUAACAUGAAUAAGCAUUUCUUCAGGAAGCAUUCCUGAAAUGCCGGGUCCAGCUCUGCGGUGCUGCCUGGGACUGCCAGUGGGAGGUAUAUGACCUACAGAUGUCUGAGUUUUCUUUUUGCUUCUGCAUCUUAGUGAUUCCCUGCUGGUGUAACCUUUACUGGUGCCCACUGGAAAGAGUUCAUGCUGUCAGGCGUUAGCAACUAAACGGUGGGGAACUGCCUUGCUGGUGAGCUAAGGCCUUUUGGCCCUCUUCAUAUCCUAGUCCAUCAGCAAACCCCUGCGUUGCGAGGAGGGGGUGAGAAUCUUUCAGCCCAGCGCUGUGCUCUGCACCCUCCUGACAGGAGAGGCACAGGAGCCCUGCAGAGCUCCCCAGCUCCUCGUGCUAGCCCUGCAGUGCUGGGGACCCCAGAGAAGAGGGGGAGCCACUGCACCCAGGAGAAGGGAACGGGUUCACCCAGGGUGCAGGAAUUCCAGGAAUGCGGCUGCCCUGGGGCACUGCCUGGGUGGGGCUGCUCAGGCAGAGGAGCUUGGUUUCGAUUAAUAGCCCAGGAUCUGCUGGCCAUUUCAUCAGGAUGUAUCUGGCCCAUUAGCCCUCUCAUCCUGCAGAUAACCCUGGCCAAAUGCUGAGUUCCUUCCCCCUCCCUCUGGCUUUGGCUUUUAAAGCCACAGCUUAGUCUUGGAAUUGAGUGAUCAAAUUGAGGUUUCCAAGCUAGUGUGGCUGUUGCUGUUAGUGACGGAUUGGGCUGUAUCCUGGAGACCUAGGCGAUAAUGCAAUCUGAUUUUUUGUAAAUGAACUCUCUGGGGGAUUUAGAUUAAAUCACUGGUGGAAAAUCACUGGUCCCUGCUUGUGGGGAAUGAAAUACCGCCUCCCUAUUCCCCACCCCCACCCAUCACGAUUCAGACUCUUCAAUUUUUUUGUGUCUGCCUGUAAAUUAAUUGUUUGGAGCAAAUAUUUGUUCAACAGAUUGUGGAAGGGUCAGGACUUGUCUCUAUCUGGCCCACCCACCAGCUCUUGCUUUGAAAUCACCGUUAGCCAUGUUUCCCACCCAGGGGAGCAGCCUUGCCCCUCCUCUUCUAACCUUGAACCCAGCUUCUAAUUUCACUGCUCAGACUGCGCCAGUAGCUGAAGGGGACCCAGGCAAGGGUGGUAAAGGCCAUAGUGGGGGGAUUCACCCCACCAGUCACCAAAAAAAAAGGGGGGGGGGUUGGGCAAUGUGGCUGCUGGCGCCUGUUGCAAACCCCAACCAGUGGUUGUUUGACAUCUCAGCUGUAACUUUCCUCCGUACUCAGGGUUCACCGUGUCCCUUCUCGGGGGGGGCAGCCGGUGCAGCGCAGCAGCAGCACAGGGGCCAUAAGAGCUCCUAAGUGCCUUGUGCAUGGGGUGUGCGGAUGCUUUGCUUCACUCUCGCGCGACUCCAGCUGCGGGGAGAAAGCUGCUGGCCUGCUGCCAGCUCUCCCUGCAAGAAGAAUGCCACCCUGCACUUGCUGUUGUGGAGCAGUCCCUCUCCUGCCACCCUGUUUGCAUGGGGAGCCUGUUUGGUGCAUCUGAGCUGUUAGAGCCUGUCCCAUGCAAACAAAGCUCUCCUGAGAGGUGCAGCAGGCGGGUCCCGGUGAGAGGGAUGCAAGUUCUGGCAGGCCUGCUUGGCAGGUGGUGUGUGUUUGGAGCACUGCAGCACUUCUCUUCCUGGAAAGCCCCUCUGAAAGAGGGAAGGAGCGUGGCUCCAUCACAAGUGUCGUGCAGCAUGGUUGCGUAGGAAGCUCUGUUUCAUUUCCCACCAGUGGAACAAAGGCAAGCAUAGGAUGGCCAUGGGGUGCAGGUUGCCUUUGGAGAGGCCUGCUAAGGCUGCUGUGUGCUGGGCUGUAGCAGUUUUCUUGAGAAAACCAUUUUUUGAGGUGAGGGAGAAAUCGUAAAUCUUGCUACGCAACAUUAAUGUGGGUGUGUUUUGCCACGUUUACUGGCUCAGCCUUGGUUUGCCCUCCUCUCUGCAAUCUGGCACUCGGAAAACAAGCAAACAAGAACAACCCGAGGGGUGCAUUUAAUAACCAGCCAGAAGAGAGCUGCUGCCUCAGUGAGCCAUCAAAACCAAAGAGACUGCUUUUCUGGGGCAGUUGCUUUGUCUGGGACCAGAUUCCACUAGCUGUGAAAUUCAAACAGUGAUCCCAGUGGGGACUGGGAGUCAUAGGGUGAGAAAUUUGGUGAGUGGGAAUGCUGGAGGGGGAAGUGUGGGGUGAGUGGGAGAGAGCCUGCCAGGCAGAGAUGUAUUGACCGUGCUUAAUCUGAGAAAGGAAAGUGAACAGUAGUUCCUGCCUGGCUGUGACCCUUCAGUGGAUGUCAGCUUUUCCUUUGAGGCUAAAUCUAUGUUCGGAGUGGGAUAUAAAGAGGGUGUUCUGUGUGGGCUUGGAAGCAGAUCUGUGGACAUAGAGGCAAGAGGUUUCCCAUUUGCAGGGCAUAUGGUGGGGACCAGCAUGAAAGGGCUCUGUCAGGCCAGGACUGAUGCAAACAGCAUCUUGGUCACCAGUCUGUGACAUCUGAAUCCUGACACGCUGGGCUGGGCUGAAGGAGGAUGGACUGCUUCCCGUGUUGGCUCUGUGCAUCCUGGGGCUCUCAGGCAGCCCUGGCUGUGCAGGGCUUGGUGUGCCGACACGUACAUGUUGUGUCACUCUGCAGUGGACUGGAAGCUUGUGGUUCUGUUUGGGGAAAACCCUUAGAAGAUGUCAAUAUAACAAACUCAUUUUCUAUCUUUGUGAUUUUUUUUCCUAAAUGAUAGGAAAUGAGACAGCCUGUGUCAUAUGACAGAGUGCAGCUGGGAUUUUGUAGUGUGCUCUUGCUCCAACCUUCUCAAUGGUUUCAGGUUGAGAGCUAGACUUCACUUCUCAGCUCUUCUGAAAUGCUUUCUAGCCUUGUGCCGUUGCCCAGCUGUCCCACACAAGCCUUCACUGUGACUACCACAUUAUCUAGCUGAUCCCGGGUGCCCCAGGAUCCUCAGACCUUCUGGAUCCAAGCUUUUUGGGCAGCGUGAGGUAAGAGCAAGUUAGAGUUCUGCUGCUGUUGUACCCUGAGACGUGGAGAGGAGCACCAUGCGAGGUGCGCAUGGCGCGCAUAGAAGAGGCGCAGAUGCGUGUUGUGCUGUUUGGGGAACGCAGCUCCCUCUGGGGUGAGCACUGUUUGCCCAAGCUCUGCCAUUCUGAGCAUUAACAUGUGGGGUUUCAGGGAUGCCCUGGUGCUGCUAAUCCCGUCUGAGAUCACAGCCAUCAGUUUCGCUUGCUGGCCAACACGCAGCAGAGCUGGCUGUAGGGGGUGGCUGUGGAUAGCCAAGGCUGCGAUUUGCUGUCUUAGAGAUGAAUCCCAACGAGUGGUCUGCAAAGCUUAGCUGGGCUACAGCUUUCCACUCUGUCCUCUGUAAUUAUUUUACAAUCUGGAUCACUUGCCCCCAUUGUCAUCACCUGCUUGGGAUGGAAAAAAUACUCUCCUGCUAGCUGAGUCCCCUUGUGUCCCUUCACAGUCCUAGACGUUCCUCUCCAACUAUGGGAACUGCCGGUCACUGCCGGCAGGGCCUUGGCUCAGGCUGUCCUGCCUGGCACGGCCAUCCCAGGUAGCUGUAUCCCUGCUGGCAGCUGGAGAUCGGGCUCAUGGUGCAGAUCCCUGACAGCUUCUCGCCCUGCCCGCAACCUGGGAGGCUUUUCUGCAGUGCUCUCCAGGAAAUGCCAUUGGAAUGACUUCCACUGCAGCUUCCUGCCCGGCCCGCAGCAGCAUUCCUGCCGCUAGACCCAGAACGAUGCAGAGGCGAGUUUUUAGAGCUUUGCUCUUCGCCCCUUUUACUCGGUUCUCCUUCUUUGGGGCCCUGCCUGUUUUCCUCGCUGCCUCUCGGUACACGGUGCAGUUUGGUUACGUUCCUUAGAUCUGUGAUUAGAGCAGGCGCCUGGAAGGCAGAGGUCCUGCCCAUGGCUGGCUGUGGCUGAGAGCAGCCCACUUAACCCCGUGGUCUUUCAGCAAAAGGGAUAGCGUUUCCUGCCCUCCCAGGGGAGCCACUGGGAACUCAGAUUUGUAAAGCACUCUGAGGUUCUUUAAUCCGAAGAAUCGAGUGCUAUUUAGAAAAAAGACCUGUGAAAUAAUUUAAAAAGUGUUUUCUUGCUGCUCUGUGUUCAUAACUCUUCUAGGUAAUGUCAGUCUUCCUGAUCAUCCUGCUGUUCCUCUGAAACCCAAGCUAGGUCCCCCUGCACACUGCCCGGGGUCCCUCCCCAUUUCGGCAGUAAUGGGGUGUCCCACUGCAGCAGAAGAGAUGGGAGGGAGCACCAUGCUCUCUUUUCCCCUGUGGAAGAUGCCGUUUUCUGUACGCCUCUGGGGUGCUGCACCUGAUUUCUGUGGAGCUCCUGUACAAUCUGUGUAUGUGGUGUACCCCCAGGAGCAGCAAUACACCUGUGGCCUACACCGCAUACAGGCUGAACGGCGGGGCGAUGCUUUGAGGCCUUUGCUUAGGCUUCUCUCCUUUGAUUUUUACCAAGCUGCUGAUGGCUGUAAGCACAGUCCCAUCUUGACGUUACAAGGCGUAUUUCUCUAGCAGCUCUUUCCUCACUAGCUGUAAAGCCAGAGUAUUCCCAGAAGGAGCUGGGGGAAGGGUUGGAUAUCAGUUGUGGGAGUGUUGCAGACUUGCUGAACCAGGAGGCGAGGGAUUAAUGGGGGCAGCUGCUCUCUCCCCUUUGGUGACCCCCAUAGCAGUUGGGAUGUUGACCUACCCGCUGUCUGAUUCAGUGUGAAGGUAAGCUCUGCAGGGUGGCUCUGCCUUUGGGUGGCAGGAAAGCAGCGAUGUUCUCCUCCUCCCUCCCAAGAGGGAUGUUACCCUUAAAAUGUUGUUGUUCUGAGCAACUAAAGAUUAACGUAGAUAAUGGAGGCAUGAAAGGGAAGCGGUGUGCCUCUGUGCCAGGGCUCUCCUUGGUUUGCUGCCCUGGCCUUGAACAGGGAAACUGUUCCUCCUCCCUGCUGUUCACCUGGAAGGAUGUGCAGAGGGGUGUUUGGUGCCAGAUCUCUCUGAAGUCCUGCUCCUGAUUGUCCUUGGAAUGCCAAGGGAUUAAGUUAGGGGAUGUGCUUUCUGGAGGCACCCAAGAGCGGUGUGCCCGUGGGUGCACCGGCACAGCUUCAGGGUGUGGGUUGGCCCUGGCCACGUUCAGGUGGGGAGAAGGGUUACUCUUUGCCACGGAAGCAGAACAGCCCAGCAGAGCGAGGGUGCAGAGAACUGCUGAGAGGCAGAGCCGUUAGCAGAUGGCUCCAGCUGGGCUUACCGGGGAGCAGGUGUGGGUUUCGGGAGGCAGCCUUUUAAGAGAGAUGUCAGUUUUGAACCCAGGAGGCUCGAGGGGCUGAGCCGUGGCUGCCACGACUUGCAUGCUGGGGAGCUGUGACCUAGUUGUGCUAUAGAAAUGCUCGGUUUAUUUUUUAUUUUUAGGUAUUUUGCUUAUUUUAUCCUCAUGUUUAAUUUAGUUAGCAAAAGAAUCUGAGGGUUGAGCAGUGCUGGGAAGGACUGCCUGCAGGCGGGAACGCCCGCUGCAGCUCCUUCGUGCAGCUAGCAUCUCUCCAGCCGCCCGUGUCUUCUCUCGGACACGUGCUCACGUGUACCAGCCCAGUGCUGUCUCUCAGGAUCUCUUUAAUGGGAAACCCAGUGCACUCAGCACUGCUGCCUGCCUCCAGGGUAGCGAGGGAAGGAGGAGCGGGAUUCGGAGCAUUAACCAGAGAGGCUCCCGUGGCCAUGGGGACCGUUUGAACAUUGUGCUGUAACCGGUCUGCCUUCCCUUUGCUACUGGGAGCAGGGUGAGCGUGGUGUUUCAGGAGGUUUUGGGCUGGUAACUCUCUCAACCACUGCUUGCCCCUGCAUUUACACAGCGUGCCCAAGGAAGGGUAAUGGGCUGUAUCUGUGAGGAGGGAAGUUUCAGGGGUCUGUGCAAUUCCCUUGGGGAGAGCUGCUUGAAUUUAUUGCAUUAUCCUCCUUCCUGCUCAAGCUUGUGUUUCAGCUGUGUCUGCAGACAUAGCUUCUGAUUUAAGUAGAUCCAAUUAGUAGCUAGCUUCUGGCACCAGUAUCCUGCCCAGGGAGAUGGGCCCUGGAGAUGAGAAGCCUCCAGUGGGAGCAAGGCUGGGCUCAGCCUUUCUGCCCCUGCUCCUGAUCUAGGAUGGACCUGGAGCUCCCAGCUCGCAGCCCUGAGCAUGGGGGGAAACCGAGGCAGGUGUCCUCUGCUCCGUGCUCCACCUGGCCAAGAACAAAGAGCAGGCAGGUUCUCCCUGCCAGUACUGCUGCCAGCCAGGUGCUCUUAAGACUGAAAUCAAAUACUCCAAAACGUGACAGCUUAGCAGCAGGCAGGGCUUGGAGCAGGAGCAGGAGCUGCUCAUGCCGGGAGGUGUGCGAGGGGCCAACGGGCAGAGCUGUGCAGGGACCUGUCUUUUGGGGGUAGGCCUGUACACCUGAGGGGAGCAAGCUGCUGGAGCUGGCUGCUUCCCAAAGGAGUAUAGAAGGGUUUUCUUCUCUGCUGGAGGGUGAAGGGCUCUUUGGGAAGCUCAGAGAAGAGGCUGAGGCUGGCACGGACCUGGCUUGGUUUGAAUACAGCUAGCACCACGCUCAGGUGGAGCAGGACAGCUCUCGGCUUCAUUAGUUCUCCAAAUUAUGCUAGUCCCGUUUGCACAUCUGUCUGUUUUCUGCCUUCAUUGAAGCUGGGGACGCUACAAGCAUUGUGUAGGGAGCACGGCUGGUGGCAGUACGAGACAUUACUCUGUGUGUGUAAAUUGUAGUGAGCUGGCUCAGGGUUUGGGCUGGAAUGUGGGAGUUGGGCGUGUGUGUGGCCCUGGGUAGUGUCUGGGUGACAUAUGACUUAUGUAUGGAGAAAAUGAGGUGUUGCUACCUGUAAAUCAGCCUUCACAGCAGUGUUGCAAGUGCUUCCAUCCUGUUAUGGUAUGGCUCACCAGUGUAUUAAACUUGCUGGAGCUAAUAUCUUUUAUUAGAGCAACUGACCUCAUUUAAAAGCUUCCAGUGCACCAGCCAGUGAUUAUUUCAUGCAACAACACGUAUGGAGGAGCCCAGGGCAGAGCACAAAGUCUCCUUCUCGUGCUGCACCAUUCUCUCCCACAUUUGCUACAUCAGCUGCCUACUCUGCUUCCUGCCCUCAAGUCAGCAAGGAUUUUGCUAAAAAGGACUUUGCGGCCUGAAUCAUUUGAUAUUUCAUGUGGACUAACAGGAAGUGAAAACAGAAUGAGCACAUCUUCCUCCUCUUCCUGUACCUCCACCCUUUCCCCUUUUUCAUUCAAGUGGCUUGUAAGAAUUACAGCAGCCUUGUGGAGUUCUGGGGCUGAAGUGGGAAGUGGUGAGGCUUGGCCAGUGCUCCUCCGGGAUGCUGGAGGAUGAGUGGCUUGAGGUGGGAGAACCAGGCGGCCCUUCCCUGGGACCCGUCUCCCCAGGAACCAUCCGUGCACCCAGCCUCACUCCCUCAUGCUCUGGUAAUGCUGCUGUUCCCUGCAGGGUGGGUUUGGGGUAGGGGCUGUGGUGCAGCUGAGGGCUGGGGAGAGCUGUCGGCAUUGCACGACUCAGCCCUUGGAUAGGAGGGAACGUGGCUCCGCAGCUGGGCACACGUGAGCAAGGCACGUCCCCUCGGCGCAGGUUUCCCCACAGUUACACAAGGGCAUGAUUGCACAGGAGCUGUGACGUCUGGGAAGAGCAAGAGCAACGACAAGGUGAAAACUGAGCUUCGUUCCCUGGGUGCAGGUGACCCUGUCGAGGUGCUUGUCUGGUGCAGCGAGCUGGCUGUGGCACUCGGGCUCCCAGCACCACGGGCAGCAGAUAACCAUGAAAUUAAAGCAGGAGUCUUCCCCUGCCCCCCCGAGCGUGCCCCUCGCACAAAGGCAGGCAGGCUGCUCUGCCUGCUGGGGCUCAGACACCAUCUGUCCGGUGGGGAGAAGCAUCAGAGAGACCGUCUUUCCUCGGACUAUUCCACUUAAUGCCCUUUGGAAAACAAUCCCAUUCCCAGCAGGUGCUAAUCUCUUGAGUGGAUCCGGCUCAGCCAAUGUGUUCUUCGCUGUGCCUUUGUACCAGAGCCUUGUCGCCUGCCAGCCGUCCCACUGCUGAGCACGCCCGGUGCUGGCCGGGCCUUCAGCACCUUUGGGAGCCCUCAGCCCGGUUCGUUCUGGGAGAAACGCUGAUGAAAGAUGGAUGCAAGUGGAUUAGUCAUUCGCACAGUCUCCAGCUUUAAUACAGAUGAAUGUUUCAGCACAUUUCUGGAGCGAAGAGCGCAAUUCCCUGCUCUCCAUCUCGUGCUGUGCACAGCAGUCUCCCGGGGCAGGGAUGGGGGUUACAGCUGUCACCAUAGCCCCUUUCAUGUAUUUGGAAAAUGCUGAAAUCGUACUGAAUGGUGUGGGGUUAUUGCAGGUUCCCUGGAGAUGGUGAUGAAACCAGUUUGACAGGAGGCUGCCGCGGUGAGGAUUAGGGCUGGAAUGUGCUAGUGAGGGUUUGUUUCUGGUUAGAAAAGGUCUGGCUCUGGCCCUCAACUGGGCUGAAGCCCUGCAGGUGUGUUGGGCUUCAGGCUUCGGCCCCAAGGACAGCCUCCCUGUGGGGACUGCAGGCUGCACCCCACUGCUUCUUGGCUUGGUCUGUGCCUAGGCCAGCCCGGAGGAGAGAGAGGCAGGGAUGUGCUUAUUUAAUUAACCCUUUUGAGCUUAUGGCUGCAUCCCUCAGAGUCACAGAUUCCUCUGAAUGCAGAGCCCUGGAGCUUGGGCAAGGGCAGCACCACAGUGCCGACAGCACCCAAGUGCCUGUUCCCAGGGCGGGAGAUGCCGUAGAGGCAGUGGAGUGGGUGGCAUUCCCGGCCAUUGUCAUGGAGAUCAGCAGCUGCUUCCCUGGAGGUCACCAUUUGCAUAACAGUUAGAGCGGGGUCUGGAGUAUUUGCACCUGCGAGUGUGCUGUUCCCAGAGCCCCUUCGCCUCCCCGUGUCCCCUGAGCCCUUCCCACCCCAUUCCGAGCCUGCCUAGGGUGGCUGACAGGGACCAGCGAAGUGAAACGGGAUCCGGAGAAGCUCCAAGCUCUGCCUUGGGUGGCAGGUUUCCUUGGCAUGCUCCCGAGUUGGGGGCUCACGUUGGCCUCCAGUCCCAAUGCUGCAGGCAGUGGUGUGUGACUGGUGCAGGCAUGCUCGGUGUCCGUGCUGCCCUGCUUUCGGGCCUGGGAUUCUGACAGGGCUGGGGGUGGUGGGGGCCACACAUGGAUGCGACGUCUGGGGGAGCAGGUUGGAGGGAAAACCUCCAGGAUGUCUCUUCCACUUCCGUAGUGCGUAAAGACCCACCAAGCUGUGUUUACAGGAUCCUAGUGCAGCCUUUGGGGAUACCUACAUUUUCUUCUUUUCUGAGGGAUCUCAGCUGCCUUUUUCCCACUGUGCUUCAGUUCCAGGUUCGCAUAUGCCAGUCCCAUGCAGUGAGCUGGCAGCCCAAAGGGGCUCUGGGAGCAGGUUGCUGUCGAUGCAGGGCUUUGUUGUGGUCUGUGCUGAGCUGCUGCCUUUCUUGUCUCGCUGCUCAGCACAAAACUGUUCCCAGCAUCUCAUUAACAAAUGUCAGGUCAUCCAGAUGACUCCACUCCUGGCCAGCGAUUGGCGUUAGACCUCUUAGCAGUAACACAGCUGUACUUACAGCAAAGGUAUAACAGAAACAGCCUUGUUUUCAAGUGAAACAUUGCCUCAUGACAAGAAUGCCUGGACUGGGAGUCAGAUGCUGUGGUUCAGGCUGCUGACUUCUAUGCAACUCUAGGGAAAGCACAUAACCUCUCCGCACCUCUGUGGAUCUGUCUGGGAACAAUGCUGACUUAGCCCACAGGAGGGUUUGGAGAAUCAACUAAGUUUUAAUAAAACACAUUAAGAUCCUUGGGUGGGAAAGGCUUUUGUGUAUGCUGAGCUGGUUGCUGUGGGUGUCUGUCACGAAGACAGGCUGGCUGGGUAUCUGGGCCGUGGGGAAGCUCUAUAGUUCUUGCUGGAGGUCUGACUUCAACACGUAGACUCCAACAAGUACCACUGGUUCACCGUAAAUAGUCCCAGAAGAGCCUGGCUCUUCUCUGCUGAUUUUCAGAGCUCUGUGCUGGUGUCUCAAUGACUUCUGUACCCUUUACCUCCCUGUGCAAGGGAGGCUUUGAGCACCCAGACUCAGCCCUCCCCAGCAGCCAGAACCCUCCCUUCCCUGCUCUGCCCCUGGCUAACAAGAGACCAGGUGGGGAUUCACUGCCCGCAUCUACUUCCUUCACCUGCCCUCAUGGGCCAGUGUCACUGAAUCCUCUUUCCCCAAGUGUUGGGUCUUAUUUUGAAAGAGGAACCCGGCCUGCCCCGCUCGAUCUGAAUGGGAUCUAGCAACUGAUCCCCCUCCCGCUCGUCCGGGGAAGCUGCUCCAGCAGGGCUAUGAAUGAAACCCACUGAACCUCUGGGGGUGGGAAGAGGCUGAAACUUCGGGUCUUCCCCUUCCCGUUUCCAGGCCAGGAUGUGAAUGCUGUCUCAGCCAGACUGUGCUUGAUUAUUCUGCUGUCCGAGACAGAGCACUUUGGGACGGACAUACUUCUCUUUUUCUCUCUACCACGGUGUCACAUAUUGUCACUGUGCAGUGUUUAAAUGGCUGCUGCAUUCCUCCCCCCCUGCCCCCGCAGCCGUCCCUGGCGGUGGGUUGCAGUUUGGAGCACUGCAGGUGUCUCAGGAGCCUUUGGCACUGCAGAACCUCCCUGCCCCAGCUCUGUGGGGUGGUGAACACUGGUGGAGUCUGGAUCUCCUCCUGAUCCUCCGUCUCCUGCAAGCAGCACCUUCAACUGCAGGGAAGCCCCCCGGCCCUCCCCCAGCAAGUGCUGGUUUAGGCUCCAGCCAAAAAAAGUCAUGUCCUUCCCCAGCACUGGGGGAGGAGAGGCAAAGCCACGGGAUUGCCUUUUGCGUAGGCAUAAUGUCUCACUGCUUCCUCAUGGCCUGCCCCCAAGAGCAUCCUCCUCUUGGACGUGUCUGUCACCCGGGGUGGGGAAGGGGAUGUGACGGGUGUUCAGUGGUGGAACAGCCUGUCCUCUCUGGGGUGGAAGAGGCCCACGGGCAUGCAGAGAGGGCUGUUGAGACAUUGACGUGCUGUUGCUACCAUAGUCCUUGUGAACAACUCAGGAAUUCCAAAUAUUUCCUCUCAGAUAAAGGUGACUGGGGGAGGCCAGAAAUAUCUGGACGUGUCUGGGCAAGCCUCAGAUCCCAAACACCAGGCCGGAGAGGUCAGAAUUGGUACUGGGAGUGCUGGGCUUCAGGUGCAGAGCGGCCGAGGCCCAGGGCUGUGUGGGAACUGAGCAAGCUGCCUUUCCCUAACCUUCAUCCCACCCCCAAGAUGGGGAGGGAGGAUGCUCCUGCCUGUUUUCCCACUCCCCCUGGUCUGGGAUUGCUAUUCCCAGGGGACACAUCUGGAAUCGCAGUUGUGCAGGGGCUGAGCUAUCGCAGCUUCUGGCGAUGGUUUCCCCAAGGAAGUGCAAAGCGCUUUCCUCCCGAGUCCCCUGCGGCCCCCAGCUGCGUCUCCAGCAGCUGCUGCUCUGUUCCCGGGGGAAGGACAGGGGAACAGAGGGGCUUGUGUCCCCUCCCUGUCCGCACAGGACUCUUGUCGUGCUCCUCUCCGUCUGUAGCACCCGAUAGCUCUUCAUUCACCGAAUGCUAUUUAUCUCUUGUUCAGCAAACACUUCCUUUUCUUAGAAGUAAGGGCUUCAAAACAUGCUUCUUGGAACUGCCUUUCCCCAAGCUCGAGAAGGCAGCAGGGAGGCUCAGCUGCCAGCCCUCCCCAGCUCCUGCCCUGGAUGUGGGGGCCCUCUCCUGGUCUGCCCCACUGCUGGCCCUAUGGAGAGGCUGAGUGACUGCACAACCCCUUCUGCCUCUGCAGCCUUCCUUGGGACAGUGGAGACAUCCUCUCCCGCGGGUCAGGAGGAGCCUGCAGAGAUGCAUGGGGCUCUCGGUGGAGCAGGCUUUACUGAAUCCCCAAGCAAAGUGGCUUUUUCUGGGCAAUACCUCACGAGGGCACAGCAUCCUUCCUCCCACUGAGAGCUCCUGCAGCGUUGGGUGCUGUGAGUGUGUGGUGGGGACAUGUGUCCGAGGGAAGGACCUUCCCCAGGGGCAAGGGCCCUGGUACAGAGGGAUGUUGUAGGGGUGGUGGAGGCACUCCACAGCUGGUGGUUUUGGAUGUGCCUGUGCCUUCUGACCCAGUUGCCCAGAGCCCUCCAUCCCCGCCAGCCUGCUCUUGGUUUACUGCCACUUGCUGUGCUCUGUCACCACUCCACUGCUUGUCACCACCUAUCAGCAGAGGGAUUUCCUGUGCCGUAAUUAAAAAUAUCCCCUCCUUGGGCCUGGAUUCUCCUCCCAUCCCUCUCCUGCAGCACAUCACUGGCCGUUCCCAUGACCAUCACCCUGGGUGAGCGGCUGGGCAGAGGGGCUGGCAGCAGGCAGCAGCCCUCACCUUUCUGCCUGGAUGGUACCUGCGUGUGAGCCACCAUCCUGCCCGUUCCUGCGGGGCUGGGAUGCAAUACAACACCUCCACAGAGCCUGCGCCAGCUGGCAGGCCUGGUGGGAAGCGAGCUGCCUUCUGCUGCUCUGCGUAGGUGGCAGGAGUCACGGGGACAGUUGUAACAUCCCUGAAGAGGACUCUGAGUGAGGUGGCAGCAGUGACGUGCCCCAGGGAGCGGUUUGUGGACCUCUACGGGAACAAUGCUGCUGCCGAGGUGAGGAAGGGCCAGGAGACCUUCAACAAAUGGCUCCUGACCGGGGCGACGGUGGCAGGAGUGCUUCUGCUGGGAUCCCUGCUGAGCCGCAAGUGAC